GUUCUCACUUCAGCAGCACAUAUCCUAAAAUUCAAAUGAUACAGAGAUUAGUAUGGCCCCUGUGCAAGGAUGACACGCAAAUUUGUGAAGGGUUCCAUAUUUUA
rnacentral:snRNA from 1 species